rnacentral:rRNA from 1 species
UUAUUUGAAAUGGGACACAACCCCUAACACCGGGUCUAUCGAGAUAUCUUAAAUAAAGUGGGCCUAAAAGCAGCCACCUUUCAAAGAGCGUUAAAGCUUAAUAUACCAAUAUCUACAAUUCCGUAAUUUUUACUUAACCCUUUAUUACUACUGAACCAUUUUAUACCCUUAUAAAAGCGAUUAUGCUAGAACUAGUAACAAGAAAUUGCCUUUCUCCCAAUGUAUGUUUGAACCAAAAUGGACACUCCACUGGUAACUAACGCAAAUGAAGCACCAUAGUACCCUACAGCUAGAAAACUCUAUGUUUACUCAACGUCAGCCUUACACUAGAGCAUUACAGGAAAGAUUAAAAGAGAAAGAAGGAACUCGGCAAAUCACAGUCCCGCCUGUUUACCAAAAACAUCGCCUCUUGCCCAAACAUAAGAGGUCCAGCCUGCCCAGUGACAUAGUUUAACGGCCGCGGUACCCUAACCGUGCGAAGGUAGCAUAAUCACUUGUUCUUUAAAUAGGGACUCGUAUCAACGGCAUUACGAGGGCUGUACUGUCUCCUUUCUCCAAUCAGUGAAACUGAUCCCCCCGUGAAAAAGCGGGGAUAAACCU